rnacentral:tRNA from 1 species
GGCCCGUUCGUCUAGUGGUUAGGACUCAUGGUUUUCAUCCAUGCAACAGGGGUUCGAUCCCCCUACGGGCUGC